GCUGAGACGGCAACGAUGGUGGUGUUGCGGCGGGCUGUAAACUCGCUCCCUAAGGGUAAACAUUGGGGGUUCGAUUCCCUUUCUCAGCA
rnacentral:tRNA from 1 species